rnacentral:rRNA from 1 species
UUUACCCUACGGGGCGCAGCAGUGGGGAAUAUUGCACAAUGGGGGAAACCCUGAUGCAGCAACGCCGCGUGAGUGAAGAAGUAUUUCGGUAUGUAAAGCUUUAUCAGCAGGGAAGAGAAUGACGGUACCUGACUAAGAAGCCCCGGCUAACUACGUUCCAGCAGCAGCGGUAAUACGUAGGGGGCAAGCGUUAUCCGGAUUUACUGGGUGUAAAGGGAGCGUAGACGGUCCUGCAAGCCAGAUGUGAAAGCCCGGGGCUCAACCCCGGGACUGCAUUUGGAACGGUAAGGCUAGAGUGUCGGAGG